AUUGAACGCUGGCGGCAUGCUUUAUACAUGCAAGUCGGACGAGUGGCGAACGGGUGAGUAACAUAUCGGAACGUACCUAGUAAUGGGGGAUAACUAAGCGAAAGAUUAGCUAAUACUGCAUAUUAUUCGAGCGGCCGAUACCUGAUUAGCUGGUUGGUGGGGUAAAGGCCGACAAAGGCGACGAGCAGUAGCGGGUCUGAGAGGAUGAUCGGCCACACUGGGACUGAGACACGGCCCAGACUCCUACGGGAGGCAGCAGUGGGGAAUUUUGGGCAAUGGGCGAAAGCCUGAUCCAGCCAUGCCGCGUGUCUGAAGAAGGCCUUCGGGUUGUAAAGGACUUUUGUCAGGGAAGCGGUACCUAAAGAGUAAGCACCGGCUAACUACGUGCCAGCAGCCGCGGUAAUAC
rnacentral:rRNA from 1 species